AGGACAACAGGCAUCAGGCACAAAAUGAAACACAGGAAAGUCUGUCUGACAAGUCUUCUUCACUGUGCGGAUGAUUGAACGUGGAUCAGGCUGCGCAGAGAGUUUGUGGCAUCUCUGUCCUUGGAGAUUGGGAAGGACUGCCUGCUGAAGCUACGUGUCUCUUUUAGAUGAAGAGCUUAAACUACAGCCCUGACUUCUGGGUGGCCACUGUUAGCUGCAGUGAGUUGUCCUCUGAGUGACUGUGUCAUGAAUGAGAGGCUUGAGCACUGGGAAGACAAGGAGACAUAACACCAACCACAAAGUGAAUCAUUGCAACCAAAUGAAAAAGAAAAUAAUUGUUAACCUUUUGUAAUCUUUAUUUCUUAACAUUGUGUUAAGUAUUAUGUACCAUCAUUCCUUUUUUCAGUAUGAGCUUUUUCAGUAAUGGWCUACCUGAGGUAACUGGUUUACGGUAGCUCCACUAAUAUAUGGGCAUUCUUGAUCCUUGUUCUUUUUAGUGGUUGGUUUGUCAGAGAAGGUGCACAACUAGCUGUGAGAGGCAGCAAUAGGCAUCUGUUCAGAGGCCAGCUCAGUUCAUGGGGAGGAACUUGGACAGACCUGGGCCUUUAAGAUGGACUGAAACACAGGAAACAGAGACACUAUCCAAGGAGUAUCACACAGUGCCUGGACAGCUACAGAGGAGGAAACAGCUGAAAGGGGCUUUCUGGGGAGCUGAGAAGUGGACAGACACAUGUGAGAACGCUGAARAGGGAAGGAAAGGCAGUGCUGAUGAGUAAUCCCACUUGAAUCUUUCAUGGCACUGGAACCAACAAAAAAUGUCAUGAUAUCACCCAGUGUCGCAAUUCUGUAAAACAAACUUGAAAAGAAUUAUGACAAAGAAACUUCUAAAGGUGGCAAAUUUUGAGUCAUCUAGCACAACUGAUUAUGGUAUCAAAGAUAAAAAGUGGUUAUUGGAAGAGGUGUCUGAAUGUCUUGAGGUAAUAAUUGCAUUGUUAUGAAAGCUUCAUAACGGGGUGCCCUUCACGCUGUCACAGUGUUGGUUGUGCAUGCACAACAUUCUGCACAAUAAAGCUGGCAUGCUCCUUACAGUGGCAAAGCUGGAGAUGUUUGUCAUGUUACAUUACUGGAAAAGUUAAUUGAUAGAACAAAAGUCAUGUCAAAAGAUGCAGUUAUGUUGCUCAGUUACAGGGGUUAAAAUGGUGCGCUAAUUUUAAAUGGAAGUAUAAAUGUGAUCAAGCCUUGCACUCACCCUUUGAUGGUUGUUCCAAUAUACAAUCAUCCA